GAUUGCGGUGAGGGUCCACCCGUUCCCAUCCCGAACACGGAAGUUAAGCUCACCUGCGCCGAAAAUACUUGUCUGGAGACGGACCGGGAAGAUAGGUAAUGCCAACA
rnacentral:rRNA from 1 species